UCUUUCAAGUGCUUACUAAAAAAUGUAAAGUUCACACGUGGUUCGCAUUGUUUAUUUUGGACAAUGUUGCUCUCUGCCCAAUGCCUUUCUCUCGACCUCUGAAUGAAAAGCUAGGAGAAGAGUAGGGGAGCGUGUUCAGGGAAGCUCACUCGCAUCCAUCAGGCCUGAAGUGCAAGUGGGCCUGUCCCUGUUCCUGCCCCACUCUUCCUGGAAAGCCUGGAUCUCUGUACCUGGGCACCAUGCUGCCCUGGUCCGUUGUGAGCAUGUCAAGGAGGGACACAGGAUUACUACAUUGUGAGCCAAUGUCUUGGUCUUAUUUAUUCUUAAUGUUCUCUCUGGUUUUACAGAUCAGAGGGCCAAAGCCCAGAAGGACAAGUGACUUACCUCAAGACACACACAUUGAAUUACAAGAGGGCAGCACAUCCAUGGCUCUUGCCAUCACACCACAGUAUCCACUGCAAUCCCAAUGGCAAGAGAAAGUGGCAGGCAGAGUCAGACAGGAAAGAAGUGCCAAUGGCAAGAGAUUCAAACCUCUUCUGUGAUAAUCAUAGAACUGUAGCAUCAGAAGGCAAUUCCCUAAGUGUGGUCUGCCUACAUCCCUGGUGACAGGCAGACAAGACCCUUAAAUAUUGUAGCCUUGGAACUCGGAAUGAGGCAGAGUGGUAUCUGAUGCCAUGGUAAGCAGCAAAACAGGCUGGGGAAGCAUCAUCUUUGCAUCAACAGGUAGGGGUUUCAGUUCUACCUCUGCUGCUUAGUGCCUUUGUCACCUUGGACAAGGUUAUGUAACUUUGAGAUUCAGUGUUUUUCCUUUGGAAAAUGGAUUUUAAAACACUUUGCUCAAUAAAUAGUAGCUUUUUAUUAUUUUAAUGUGGGAUCUCAUUUAAUCCUUACAAUAACUUCA